rfam:Ictidomys tridecemlineatus contig018752, whole genome shotgun sequence.
GGGGCUGUAGCUCAGUGGUAGAGCACUUGCCUCACAUGUGGGAGGCACUGGGUUGUAUCCUCAGCCCCA